rnacentral:lncRNA from 1 species
AUGUGUGAUGUCCAGAAGAACAGAAGAUGCCAGGAGACUCCAGAUACAGCAAUGACAAAGAGCAGUCCUGCACCCAACGUUAUCAAACCUUCUAAUUCAAUCAUUAGGAAGUCACCAUCCUCAGUGGGGACCUUUCUCAGACAAUCUAUUCUUCCACCGUUCUUGAGCAACCAAGAUAUUAAAAAGGAAGACUUGAAGUUUCUAUGCUGCUUGACCCAGAAGUUUCUCAUUAUGGAUGUGGGGUUCUUACUUUUGAAGCCAUGUCAUCUCUGCACAGCCGGUCCCUUUUCCCUUCUGCCAUGAGUGGAAGCAGCCUGAAGUCCUCACCAGAAGAUGUCAGUGCAUGCUUCCUGUACAGUCUGCAGAACUGUGAGAUAAAUAAACCUCUUUUUUAAAAAAAUAAAUUACCCACCCUUGGGCAUUCUUUUAUAGUAACAAAAAAGGACUUAGAUACUAUGUGAGAAUGAAUCAUUCACAAUGCAAUUGUCAGACAAGUGAGAUUAACAUUUCAAUUCUCAAGUUAUCCGAUUGUUCUACGUUUUCCAGGCUUUGUCAUGACUUGUUCACUC